UGGCCUAAUUUUAUCCCUCCCCUCCCCCAGGUCUCCUGCGUCCAAUCACGACCCGACCCCGACGCUGAUGAGCCCCAGUUCUCGGAGCUCCGCGAGGCCGCCUCCGAUUGGCUGUUCGAGGUGGGCGUGGCCCAGCGCCGGGUGGGCGUGGCCUUCCCCCCUCCGGGGCUGUUCCGCCGCCUCCUCCCCUCCCUAUUGGCYGCUUUGGCUGACCCCGCCCACCCGGGGGCGCGGUCCUGGGCGGCGGCCGUGAUUGGCCGGCUAAGCCACGCCCUCCCGGAGGAGGAGGCCACGCCCCUUUUGCCGUAUUUGGGCGCCGCGUUCCGAUUGGCCGUGAGGGACUCGGAUGAUGAGGUCAGAGCCAACGCCUUCUACGCCAUUGGACGGAUCGGGGAGGCGGCGGGGAGCCACGCCCAUCGAGAGGGGGCGUGGCCGGGGGCGGAGCUCUG